CACCAGGUCACCUGAGUCUAAGGUGGCCCUGGGUCUGAAAGCCGCCCUGCAGCCUGCAGCUCCUUGGGAAAACUCGCAGAGCAAAAGCUCCUGUAAAAGGCAGAUCGAAAAAGAGACGGUCUGCCGUCUACCACCCUGCAACCAUGAACAACAAUGCAACAGACCUCACCACGGGCUACCUCUCCUCCGCUGUAGCAAUUCUCCUAUUUGGCUCCAACUUUGUACCACUUAAGAAAUAUGACACUGGUGAUGGGAUGUUCCUUCAGUGGGUGCUCUGCGCUGCCAUUUGGUUGGUUGCCUUGGUGGUCAACUUGAUUCUACACUGCCCUAAAUUCUGGCCUUUUGCAAUGCUUGGCGGCUGCAUUUGGGCAACAGGGAACAUUGCUGUCGUUCCAAUUAUCAAGACCAUCGGUUUGGGUCUUGGAAUCUUAAUCUGGGGAUCAUUUAACACCUUAACUGGC
rnacentral:lncRNA from 1 species